GUGCCAGCAGCCGCGGUAAUACGGGGGGGGCAAGCGUUGUUCGGAAUUACUGGGCGUAAAGGGCUCGUAGGCGGCCGACUAAGUCAGACGUGAAAUCCCUCGGCUUAACCGGGGAACUGCGUCUGAUACUGGACGGCUUGAGUUCGGGAGAGGGAUGUGGAAUUCCAGGUGUAGCGGUGAAAUGCGUAGAUAUCUGGAGGAACACCGGUGGCGAAGGCGGCAUCCUGGACCGACACUGACGCUGAGGAGCGAAAGCCAGGGGAGCAAACGGGAUUAGAAACCCGUGUAGUCC
rnacentral:rRNA from 1 species